rfam:Desulfosporosinus sp. Tol-M Desulfosporosinus_sp._Tol-M_contig_305, whole genome shotgun sequence.
UCCACCGCGAGGUGGAAUCUGAAGGAAGCCGACAAGCCAACAAGCAAAGUUUCGACCCGAGGAACACGAAUAACAUCAGGCGUAAAACGAGGGGUAUGGCU